ensembl:lncRNA
GGAAAAUCCCAUGGACGGAGGUGCCUGGUAGGCUGCAGUCCAUGGGGUCUCGAAGAGCGACUUCACUUUCACUUUCUAGACCAGGACUGUCCAUUAAAAACAUAUCAAAAUCUUGCCAUCACAGAGUGUGGGAUCCCAGCUGACAACCAGAGAAUGAUGUGGAGGAAAUUUGAUAUUCCUAGUUACAUGUGCAGUUUACAAGUCCCUCAGGGCACCCCGGGACUCCCAGUGAAACGCAUGAUUGAAGAGAUGCUUGGAGAGGCUCUUAACCACAGAUGAGUCAGAGUUGCUGGUUCCGAAAAUUCUCAGACCCUCAGAUGGCAAAUGAUGCUAAAAUGAAGAAAUGGCUUUCAGUCAAAGAUAAAACUCAGGGGACUGUCAGGAAAAUAUGAUACAG